AUGCGGCGGGAGCUUCUCGUCGCGGACGGCGGUAGUCCACCGAGACACGACGUCAACGAAGCCGAGGGACAUGUCGAGCCUCGUCCGGUGAUCCCUGAUGGCAGCCUUCGUCCUCCUGAUGGCAAACAACUCCUCUUCGUUGGCGUCCUAGCUCCUCAGUUGCAUUGGUUGUCAUGCACAUGGCUGCUAUCUCCAUCAUCGCCUCCUUGCUCACCAUAUGGCAGCAGGCUCGCCCCGGCUGCAUCUACCCCCGCCGAUGCUGUAGCUCGUCAACUCGCUUCCACCUUCCCAGGAGCAUCUACCUGA
rnacentral:rRNA from 1 species